rnacentral:tRNA from 1 species
AAAAUGUAGCUUAAUUAAAGCAUCUGGCUUACACCUAGAAGAUUUCAGAAACUACUGACCAUUUUGA